rnacentral:rRNA from 1 species
AUUGAACGCUGGCGGCAGGCCUAACACAUGCAAGUCGAACGGUAACAGGAAGAAGCUUGCUUCUUUGCUGACGAGUGGCGGACGGGUGAGGAAUGUCUGGGAAACUGCCUGAUGGAGGGGGAUAACUACUGGAAACGGUAGCUAAUACCGCAUAACGUCGCAAGACCAAUGAGGAGGACCUUCGGGCCUCUUGCCAUCGGCUGUGCCCAGAUGGGAUUAGCUAGUAGGUGGGGUAACGGCUCACCUAGGCGACGAUCCCUAGCUGGUCUGAGAGGAUGACCAGCCACACUGGAACUGAGACACGGUCCAGACUCCUACGGGAGGCAGCAGUGGGGAAUAUUGCACAAUGGGCGCAAGCCUGAUGCAGCCAUGCCGCGUGUAUGAAGAAGGCCUUCGGGUUGUAAAGUACUUUCAGCGGGGAGGAAGGGAGUAAAGUUAAUACCUUUGCUCAUUGACGUUACCCGCAGAAGAAGCACCGGCUAACUCCGUG